rnacentral:rRNA from 1 species
UACGUAGGGGGCUAGCGUUGUCCGGAAUCAUUGGGCGUAAAGCGCGUGUAGGCGGUUCCGUAAGUCCGCUCUGAAAGCCCAGGGCUCAACCCUGGGAGGCGGGUGGAUACUACGGAACUGGAGUACGGAAGAGGAGAUUGGAAUUCCUGGUGUAGCGGUGAAAUGCGCAGAUAUCAGGAGGAACACCAACAGCGAAGGCAGAUCUCUGGGACGUUACUGACGCUGAGACGCGAAAGCGUGGGGAGCAAACAGG